GGGCGGAAUCCGGGCUCCCUCCGCGGGAGGAAAGACGUCCCGCGCUCUGGAGCUCGCCCAGCGGGGAGAGGCCCUCGCUAACACGGCUUCUCUCUGACCUCUUAAUUUCAGGAGGUUUUGGAGCCUCCGAGUGCCUAUACAGCCCCCACAGGAACUACUUCUGUUGGCCCAUCGAGGAUCGUCUUUCACCAGGAUUAUUGUAACAUCUUCACGGAGCCUUCCACCCCAUAGCCUCUACCUUGGGUCUUAAUUUCCACCGAUGCAGUUUAUUGAUGCUUUCUUUAGUAAUGUGACAUCACAUGUCCACUAUCCUCCUUUCCAGCUGCCAAAUGCAGUAGGUUUAAGUCGUUUUUAAAGUAGGGAGUUUUCUGCCUGUUCCACUUUCACCUUAUUUGCACCGCUCACUUCUGUCCGGGUCAUCUCUUGCUUAUGAUUUCCACAAGCACUCACUUGCGCGACCUAUAGCAGAGUCCUUGCCUAGAGAGACAGCAUUCCAUACAAUCCACUGCUUGACAAAGACCACAUAGACAGAGGGCACGGGUAAGGGUCAAAAGUCAUUCAAGCGAAGUUCUAAGGAACUCCUUUCAUUGGCCAGAGGUCUUGGAGAAGGUGGGGGUUCCUCCCAGGUUAAAAGUCCCCUUCUUUCACACCCCUGUGGACUACAUGUUUGGAUCCCCUUCCACACAGUCUGUCUCUCUCGUGUGAAAGUUCUCUUUCUUCUUUUCUUUCUCUUUCUCUACCUAAAUAAAAUAACUUUUCUGCAACACUGUUUGGGGUCCGGUAUUUACCUUGCGAGUGCACCUGGUCCCCUCUCUCAUUCUUGAGAUAGUAGGAGACCAAGAACCUUGGAGAAACGUCCUCUCAGGGGAGCUGAGGGCACCUCUAAACCUCCAAACCUGGAAACAGUGUGACUGGCUGCCCUGGGUCCAUCAUGUUCCUCAGUGGGACCCCUAUGGCCAAGGAAUUUAGAGUCAGAAGACUUAAAGCCAAUUAAAUGUUUUAGGCCAAAUGGAAAUGGAGGUGGGCAGGUACUCAGAAAAUCCCUUUAAGCAACAUGAGAGCCCAAAACCCAAAGCCAAAAAACAAGUUACAAAAUUGACUUGUCGAUCUCAAUAAUGCUUCUGGCAUAUGUUGACCAUAAAAGGAAUAUGAACUAAAAAAAUAGUAUCCUAAGCCUCCCAACAGACUGAACCCCCUCUUAGCCAAAGGGAUCCCCAAAACCCUGAAAAUCUGGUUCAUGGCAUGGCAGGAAGUGGGCAUUGGACACACCUCAUUGUGCCCAACCCCCCUUGCAAUGUAGGCACAAGUAACCACCAUUAACAUUAAAAUAGAGAUUAUAAGAUUGAAAAAGCAGACUCCUGUAACAACAAAAUACCAAAUUAUAAACAGGACCUAAGACCAUGCAGGCAAGGGUUAAGUGACACCCCUACACUUAAAGAGUAAGCUGUGUUCUAGCUGCCACAGGGUUUUCUUUUUCUCUAGCAGUUAGACAGGGACUGGCCUCAAGAGAAGCUAACUGGCCCCCAGCCCCUGUUCCAUAAGCUAUAACUACAGAUUUAAUUAGACACAAGACUGACUUUAAUAACUUUCACCUGAUGAAAGACCACCGACCAGGGACUAGUUCUAGCUGGUUUACAGAAAUUGCACAUUUGCAUGCGUUUCUGCCCUAAAAAGACCUUUUAAUGUAUAGGGCCUAAUUUUAUUGCAUCUAAAUAUUGUCUCACCCAAAAAUGAACAUGAGUCAGAUGUUAUGUGCAUAUUUGUUCAAUGCACAUGUGUCAGGACCACCUUCAUGAAUAUUCAUAGCCCCUCCUGCAACCUGUUAAAUAUGUACAUUUAGCCAGCCUGUUGUCAUAUUCCCAUAGGAGCUUCAAGCACAACUGACAGUGGGGAGCGUGCACUGUAAUUAAGACUGAGUAGUGUGUGUACAUCCUAGAUAAUUCUGGAAACAAAUCCUUAGCCCUAUAAGACAUGCACAAGCAAAUUAAUGCUAUGUCUCAUCCCACAAUGUCCUAAGUCAAUGACUCUCCUCAUGGUUUGGAUCAGGCCGCUCCUCAUGAAAAAAAGUUGCUCAUAAUUUCAGCCAUGAUUAUAGGGAUAGGUUUAUUCUUCUGCUGUAGACCAUAUUGCUGUUACAUACUCACCAUGAUGCUCUAGCAGAGCUCUCUGUAAGCUAAUGGACUCAAAAGUAUUUUCCACUCCAAGUGGUGAGGUUCCAUUCCACUGCCCCUUAACUGCACCGUUUCAGCAGGAAGUAGCUAGAUGGAGCACAUCAUCCCCUUUCCGUAGAAAUGGAAUGGAACUUGACAGUGGCGAGUUGUAACCGAGAGUCUUAGGUUUAAAAUGUAUUUUAAAGCCCUUCCCAAUAGUCUUAAAGUGCAUUUAAAAGGUUUUUUGUUUUUGUUUUUCCAUUUCUUUCCUUCCCCCUGGACACUCGCUUAUACCAUGACCCUAUGACCAACAUAUACGUGCUUGACUAACUAUAUGAUUGCUUAGAAAUUCCAGGGGAUAAUCUUGAAACAGCCCAGGCCUGGAGACCC
rnacentral:lncRNA from 1 species